CACCCCUUUCCGGGCAACCUCGUGCAUGGACCUUCACGCCGGGGACAGACGAGAUGGAAAAAGUUCCGCGAACC
rnacentral:tRNA from 1 species